ensembl:lncRNA
AUGAACCUGUUGUGUAAAACUCUCAGUGUAGCCUCACAUAACCAGCUCUUCUGUGUUCCCAGGUUGAAACUUCUGCUGCUGUUAUGGGUUUCCAAUUACAUUGAAACCAUCCCUAUACAUGUGGCGGGAAAAAAGGGAGGCGGCGUCAUCCUGCCGUGUGAAUUUAAGGCCAGAGAGAUUUUUCAUAUUCGUUUGAACAGACCAAAAUCCUUUGAAGGAGAAAUCUUUGUUUAUGAUAAGAAAUACUGCAGUAAGCGAAUAUGUAAAAAAGGAGCAUGUGACGUCGUCAUCAAGGAUCUGAGACUGAGUGAUGCUGGAAAAUACAUUUUAAAUGUCUAUUACAAUAAUGCUAACUCAGUGCUGGAGCCACACAUCAGGACGUACCAACUUCAUAUUUAUGAUGAGAUUUCUGUGAAAACAGGCGAGGAGCUAAAGAUGUCUGUUCUGUUGUCUAAUGCUGAUAAAGUGAAGACAAACUCUAGUGGAGAGUGGAAGGAGGUUUGGAAGAGAGGCCACGGGGUCUGGAGUGACCGAAUGAUUGAUGAUAAUGAUGGGAACCUGAUCAUUAAAGCAUUUCUGGACAGUGAUGCAGGAACAUACAGAGUUCUGGACUCUGAAGGAGAAAUCUUGAUCACAGUCACAGUCACAGGUGAGCAGGUGUUUAGAAAUAUUUCGAAUACAUCAUGAGCUUGGGAUUUGUUCUUUUAAACUGAAUCUGUAUGACUAAUGUUUUCAAAUCUUGUUUAUAUUUUUUCAUAUCUGCCUGGCUCAGCGGGAGAAAACACAGGUGAGACAGAAGAACAGUAAAGUAAGAAGCUCUAAAAAAACAUGAACAAUACUUUUAAAAAUAUAAAAUAUANUAUAGUGAAAAGUGCUAUUCAAAUAAACUUGACUUGAAUAUAUUUAUAGAACA